CCCAAGAACAUUUCCCCCUGCUGUUUGACAGGCUCCACCUUUCCUCCUUCAGAGGAGUAUACUGUUCUUGAAACAAUUGGAAACAGAACCUCUCUAGCUGUUCGGAAGGAAACAAAUGCUCUCUGGUCCUGUUUUGUACUUGAUUCAGCUGGUGAAGACCAAGAAGUCUUGGCCAGUCAAGUAUUCCAUAUGGCAAUGAAGACUGUUAACCUAUGCACUUUCACUUCUGGAACUGAGCCCCCAAGGAUGUACCAGAAGCUAUAUGAGGUUGAAAGAAGGAAGAGACACCUUUGCUCUGGGCCCUUGAAGUUCCUUAGAGAGGGCAGGACCAAGAGCAUCUCAGUGACAAACAUAAUGGACUGA
rnacentral:lncRNA from 1 species